rnacentral:rRNA from 1 species
GCAGUGGGGAAUCUUGCACAAUGGGCGAAAGCCUGAUGCAGCGACGCCGCGUGGGGGAUGAAGCAUUUCGGUGUGUAAACCCCUUUCGACCCGGACGAAUGCCUCGCAAGAGGAGUGACGGUACGGGUAUAAGAAGCCCCGGCUAACUACGUGCCAGCAGCCGCGGUAAGACGUAGGGGGCCAGCGUUGUUCGGAAUUACUGGGUGUAAAGGGUCAGUAGGCGGUGUGGCAAGUUGGGAGUGAAAUCUAUGGGCUCAACCCAUAGGCUGCUUCCAAAACUGCUGUGCUAGAGUGUGGGAGAGGCGCGUGGAAUUGCAGGUGUAGCGGUGAAAUGCGUAGAUAUCUGCAGGAACACCCGUGGCGAAAGCGGCGCGCUGGACCACAACUGACGCUGAGUGACGAAAGCUAGGGGAGCAAACAGGAUUAGAUACCCUGGUAGUCCUAGCCCUAAACGAUCAGGACUUGGGGUGCCGCCCGUUCGGGCGUCGUCCCGGAGCUAACGCGUUAAGUCCUGCACCUGGGGAGUACGGUCGCAAGACUGAAACUCAAAGGAAUUGACGGGGGUCCGCACAAGCGGUGGAACAUGUGGUUCAAUUCGACGCUACGCGAGGAACCUUACCUGGGCUCGAAAUGCUUAUGACCAGCUGUAGAAAUACGGCCUUCCCGCAAGGGACAUGAGUAUAGGCGCUGCAUGGCUGUCGUCAGCUCGUGCCGUGAGAUGUUGGGUUAAGUCCCGCAACGAGCGCAACCCCUGCACGUAGUUGCCACUCCGCAAGGAGGGAACUCUACGUGGACUGCUCCGGAUAACGGAGAGGAAGGUGGGGAUGACGUCAAGUCCGCAUGGCCUUUAUGUCCAGGGCUACACACGUGUUACAAUGCAGGGUACAAACCGUUGCCAACCCGCGAGGGGGAGCUAAUCGGAAAAAACUCUGCUCAGUUCGGAUUGCAGUCUGCAACUCGACUGCAUGAAGCCGGAAUCGCUAGUAAUGGCGUAUCAGAUCGACGCCGUGAAUACGUUCCCGGGCCUUGUACA